UGUAAGUGUUUAAGGGCGCAU
rnacentral:rRNA from 3 species